rnacentral:rRNA from 1 species
UACGUAGGGGGCAAGCGUUGUCCGGAAUCAUUGGGCGUAAAGAGCGUGUAGGCGGCCCGAUAAGUCCGCUGUGAAAGUCCAGGGCUCAACCCUGGAAUGCCGGUGGAUACUGUCGGGCUCGAAUCCGGAAGAGGUGAGUGGAAUUCCUGGUGUAGCGGUGAAAUGCGCAGAUAUCAGGAGGAACACCGGUGGCGAAGGCGGGUCUCUGGGCCGAAAUUGACGCUGAGGAGCGAAAGCGUGGGGAGCAAACAGG